rnacentral:misc_RNA from 1 species
GUCGUAACAAGGUUUCCGUAGGUGAACCUGCGGAAGGAUCAUUACCGAGUGAGGGCCCUCUGGGUCCAACCUCCCACCCGUGUCUAUCGUACCUUGUUGCUUCGGCGGGCCCGCCGUUUCGACGGCCGCCGGGGAGGCCUCGCGCCCCCGGGCCCGCGCCCGCCGAAGACCCCAACAUGAACUCUGUUCUGAAAGUAUGCAGUCUGAGUUGAUUAUCAUAAUCAGUUAAAACUUUCAACAACGGAUCUCUUGGUUCCGGCAUCGAUGAAGAACGCAGCGAAAUGCGAUAAGUAAUGUGAAUUGCAGAAUUCAGUGAAUCAUCGAGUCUUUGAACGCACAUUGCGCCCCCUGGUAUUCCGGGGGGCAUGCCUGUCCGAGCGUCAUUGCUGCCCUCAAGCACGGCUCUGUGUGUUGGGUCCCGUCCCCGGUCUCCCCCGGGGACGGGCCCGAAAGGCAGCGGCGGCACCGCGUCCGGUCCUCGAGCGUAUGGGGCUUUGUCACCCGCUCUGUAGGCCCGGCCGGCGCCAGCCGACACCCAACUUUAUUUCUAAGGU